UCUCUCCCUGCCGCGUUUAACUUCACCAUCGCAGAACAGCCUGGUAUGUGGCCUCCCACUCCUUACAUCAUACAUUUUAAACCAUUAGAUUGGGUGGAUAAUGAGACAAUGGGCCCCUCGGGACGGACACGCAAAAGGCCCCAUCACCUCUCCUAUAUUGGAUCAAGACACAAAAACUCAUUUUGAGUAUCUUUGUAGUACUUUGUAAUCAUGUGAGUUUUUUUGUUUCUCCCUGGUUGGUACUUGGGGGGGAGGUGGGGCCUUACAGAUUGGGCCCGGCCCGUUCAGUAAUUCAUGCCUGUUAGCCAGGAACUGUGGCUAAAAACUAUGAACUGGGAUUAACUGCACCUUAUUACUGUGGCGUGACAAACAUGUGGUGCUUGUUUGCCAUACUUAGCCUACAUACUUUUUCAUCGCUCACUUCAGCCAAAGCGAGCAGCAUGACCAAAGGCAGAGUGAUUGGCAUCGUCAUGGUGAUCUUCCUGGUGGUAUUCCUGGUGGUAGACGCCACCUGCUGCUACAGAAACCGCUGCGGCCUGCUAAUGUCCAUCGCUGUGAAAAUCUUUGGACAGAAAGUCCCAGGACUGAAAAUGCUUGAAGAAGGAGAGGGAGGCACUAAUGGGAAAAAGCUGCACACUGCUGAUGCAUGAGGCCAGAACCAGGAGAAACGACAAGUAAAACGUGUAAAUGAUGUAUAGAUAAUAGAGAAGAUAUCAACGUCAAUGAUCUCUACAUUGAAUACAGCUGCUAUGGGAAAGGUCAGUCAUUACUGACAGACUGCAGGGUUGCAGAUGUUGUUGAGGUUUGUUAGGUUUGGGCUGUUUCAGACGUCUCUGCUGUUGGAGUGAGAGAACAGCAGGUUGAAAAUCUCCCAGUUUCCAAUUCACAUGAAGACUGACACAGGAUACAGGCAGGAGGUGGUGCCAUUUUGUGUUUUUUGUUCUGUGUGCUCUGAUUUAGAUUAGUUCAGAAGACAAAAUCGCAUUUUACAGGGUAAUCGUGAUGUCUGUGUUUUACAGGGUAAAGUUAUUGGUCUUAGAAAUAAAAGAAUAUUGCUAAAUUUUCUAAAAGUCACAAUAAAUGUUUACCUUCUGCAUUUUGAAUGCUGUACACAGACACAAGGUCUUAUUUUAUUGAAUUGUUUUUCAUUUCUUUAUGAUGUUUUUUGUAUAUUUUGUUUUGUUAUUUACUUUUUAUUAACAUGGCUGCUCUUCUGAUGGUUAUGUAAGAUUAAACUUUAUUUUAGUUUAAAUAACACUAUAUCCUGAUACUGACCAGUAUGUUGAACCAUUUAAAGGGCAUUUCAGCUUAAACUAAACCUAUAUUACCUUAAUGUAAUCACCAUGCACUAAUAUGUAUUGUUUUUAAACCAUACAUGAGAGAUAUUUAUCAUGACAGGCUUUGAACAUGAAGCCAUAUUUGACUUUUUAACCAGCUUUACUGUUAAGCACAUUUUUGUGGAAGAACUUUAUAAAUGGUUGGCAACUAACACUGGCCCCAUAGGGGAGCUGUACUGUAAUUAAAAGCAACUUUUAUUAUGAAAAUAUCCUUUAAAGUACCUGUAAUAAUAGCCAACAUGUAAAACAUAUAUACAGCUAACAAAAUUGACUUAUGCUAAAAGUUAUUUUGUAUUUGUAAUCAUAUUAAUAUUCACGGUAAUUAAACAACAAUAUUUAACAACAGUUAAAUAUUUAACUUGACAUAAGUAUGUUAUGUUUGCAAUUGACCUGAACAUCUUAAUGAAGUGUUUUAAAAUUGUUGUGAUAUUGUAUUGAACACUGUAUAUUGCUGUAGAUACACAUGCUGUUACAUCUUUGCAUUUGAUAAAAACCUGGACUGUACAAAA
ensembl:lncRNA